AAGAUCAAGCAUCGCAUGCUCUACUGACUGAGCCAACCAGGUGCCCCCCACCCCGAAGCUUAUUUUCAUCAUUGGUAAGCCAGGGUAGCAAAAUGAAGCUCCCAGGUCACAGGGAGAAUUAGAGACCGUAUGUUAUAUUAGCACCUGAAGCUAAGAAUUCUUCAUCAUAUAAUGACAUGAUGAUGGUCCCAGGAAUAUAGUUACAUGAUAGAGCCCUGAUUCUCAACCAGAGGGUGGAGGUGGGGAUUCUGUUCCCCAGGGGACACGUGGCAAUGUCAGGAGAUAUUUUUGGUUGUUGUGAUCGGGAGAGGUGGUGCCACUUGCUUCUAGUUGGUGGAGACCGGGGAUGCUGCUCAGCAUUCUACAGUGAACACUGUCAUUUGCUACCUCCUCGGGAGCCUCCCUGUAUGUAAUCUGAAAUCAGCCCCCAUACUGGGAGGGCAGGGCAAGACCAAAGAAAGUCAGGCCAUUUCAUGUGGGGCAGGUUUGAUAAGCAAGGGAACUUACUUACCAGGCUUGUCUUGAUUGGCCACGGACAAUUAGAUCUCCACAUCUACCAGCCAGAAUCUUAACAUUUCUAUAGAGGCCUCAACUGGAUUCAGUCUCAUACACCAUCCAGAUGCUCUUAACACCACAUCACUAUGUCAAGGCUGUGUCCUUUGGGAGCAUCUAGCCCGGGGAAGGCCAGUGGAGUGAACACUCCAAGGACAGGGGAUGGGGAGGGCGAGCCUCUCACUGCCCAGGUCCAGCUGGUGGGUCAAAUCUGCAGUCACGUGUUCUUGAUGACCUCCUCCAACACGCACACCCCACCACAAACAGUGCUCUGGCCCCAAAUAUUAGCAGGGCUGAGGUUGAGAAACCCUGCUCUGGAAACUUAGACUUCAUUUAACACUUGCGGGGACAUCGACAUUGGACGCUCUGAUUCCUGACUCUGGGUGAGCCUGGAAAUAAUAAUAAUUAAUCAUGGCCAACAUUUCAUGGGCCCUUCGCAUGCCCCAGGCAUGGCAUUGGGCUCACCCUGUAAGGGAAUUUUGUUGUCUCGCCAACUCUGGAGAUCGUGAAGAAAACUUAAGCCCAGAGAGGUCAAGUGGCUGGUGCCAGGGGCCUCAUCUAUCUGGACUUCAUUUUUUUCCAUCAGUGGGACAGGAUCACAAUAUCUGACUCCCGGGCACACUGUCCAUGUGGGAUGCCAACCAUCUGGCACCUCACGGACCCUUAACAAAUGGGCUCCACUGUGAUGAGUGUAUUAGCCCGGCACACAAUGGUUAACCAUCGAGUCUGGCUAAGUGCCCAGCUAAGCCAGGGCCCAGGAGCCACACAAUUUCUUUCAUUUUCCCGGUUGCCGGGCGAAUUGGCAGGGAGAGACCUGGGAAGUACCUAAGACAAAAGUUUCUAGGAUUGCCGGGGGCCUGGUUUCCGGGCACCGCUGCACCCAGAAAACUCUCUUCUCCAGCCUACUUCCCCAGAGAAUUUUAAGUUGGCCCUUCUACCACGGAAAGGAGCAAGAGGGAGGCCAGAGCCCCCAAGAAACAUCAGAAGGCAGGCCCGGCAAGGGGCCUCUGUCUUUCCUGGGGAAAUCCAGUCUUGUUCAGUUGCCUGCGGUGACAAAUAGGAGUCAAGGAAGAUGGACAGUUGUGGAUGAGCCCGUUGAUGGGACGAUCAUUUAGUGAGCACCUACUAUGUGCCAAGCAUGCCGACCUUGGCGGACAAAGUCCUUGCACUCAUGGAACUCAUGUUCUUGUGGAGAGACAAGCAGUAAAGAAGCAAGAAGAAACGUAUCAGCUGGUGCCCAUCCUUGAGCGGUUCUCACUGCCAUCUCACAGACGAUGUGGCUGAUGUCCCAGGAGAGAGGCCACUUGCUCAACUCCUCCAGGACAGCGAUGGACGAGCCAGCAUCCCAACCAGGCCCGUGGACACCCAGGCUCCACGUCUCCUGCAGGCAAGGAGAUCUGGCUUGAGUUGCUUUAAAGCUGGUUCCUCAGUUUCUCGGCACUGCUGACAUUCAGGGAUAGAUAACCCUCUCUGGUGGGGCCGUCUUGUGCAUCGUAGGGGGCUGAGCAGCAUCCCCGGGCUCUACCCACUGGACUCCA